AGAGAUGGGUCUGUCUGCGGACCGCAAGAGAGGGGCGUGCCGUUAAGGGGCGUAACUUUUAGCAGGGGGCGUAACUUUAAGUUGUCCAAGUUACACAGAACCACGCGAGACGUCAGGACGAGAUGUUGUCAUUCUGUCUUCUCUUCUGCCCGCAUAGAGAUACGGCGGCUAAAGGCGUUAUUAAAGUUGCUCAUCCAAGCGCCCUCAUGUUUGUUCGUACUAAUUUUAAUGGACGGGAAGCCGACUGACGAACAUCCUUUUCCCGAGAAAUGGUUCGGCUACGACACAUGUUGAGAAGUCACGCCAGGGGCUGAAUUAAGGUCGACCGUUUCAGCUGCAUUGAUGUGAAGUGAUGCAGUGGACAACUUGUGAGGGUGAUACCAUCCACAUGCACCUUAACUGUGAUGCAGAAAUACAAUACACUCUUAAAUGAAUGUGUUAAAUUAACACAUCUUGUGUCUAGUUAAGGACAACACAUCUAGUGUGUUGUCCUUAAUUUAACACAUCUCUGUGUUAUUUUUGGAACAACACACUGUGUUGUUUUAACACAUCUUGUGUUGUCCCUUUUAUUUUUUAUGAACUUAAAUGACACUUAAUGUGUUAAAAACAACACAUAAUGUGUUAAAUAGUUUAACACAAAGCAAUGUGUUAAAAUUAACACAUCUAGGGUGUGUUAAUUUUAACACAUUGCUUUUUGUUAAACUAUUUAACACAUUAUGUGUUAAUUUUAACACAUUAUGUGUCAUUUCGUGCUGAUUUAGAGUUCAUAUAAAUAAAAGGGACAACACAAGAUGUGUUAAAACAACACAAAGUGUGUUGUCCUUAACUAGACACAAGAUGUGUUAAUUUAACACAUUCGUUUUAAGAGUGUAGGAUGAUCCAUCUGUCUACACUUCAAAAUCACAACUCAACCUUAAACAUCCCAUAUCUGUUAUGGUAAAACAAUGUGGCGGUUUUCCAGACAGGGCUUAUACUGUUCCCGGGCUAAAAUGCAUGUUUGAGCUACUGUAAUUAAGAAAACACCUUGUACUGACACAUCUCAACAUAUAUCAUUGCCAUUGUUUUGUUUCAAGAUGCACACCAGUCUUGUUUUGUAAGGUUUGUUUGUAAAAACUAAAAUGUCCUAAUAUAAGUGCCCAGUCCUGGUUUAAUCUAAACCAUUGGUGACCAAACCUGUGUCUUGAGAUCUACUGUCCUGCAGAGUUCAGCUCCAACCCCAAUCAAACACACCUGAACCUGCCAAUCAAGCAUUUCAGGGCAACCUUAAAAUUAUAGUCAGGUGUGUUUAAAGCUGGGUUAGAACUAAAAUAUGCAGGAGGGUAGAUCUCCAGGAACAGGGUUGGUCACCCCUGAUCUAAACAAAGGGUUUCCAAACUGUGUCCUGCAAAGUUUAGCUCUAACCCUAAUCAAACACACCUGAAGCAGCCAAUUAAGGUCUUACUAAGCAUACUAGAAACUUACUGGCAGGUGCUCUGAUGCAAGUAAGAGCUAAACUCUGCAGGACACCGGCCCUCCAGGACUGAGUUUGGGUACCCCUGACUAAGCCCUGCCUGGGAAACUGCACCAAUGUGUUGAGCUGGCACCAUUGGACAUUACUGCUGCUGAGAAACAAUCACUUUCUCAGCUCUACACAGGGUUGACAUUGGAUGCAUUAUUAUUAUAAAAUGCAUUCAUGUGCACUUUACCAAUACUGUACAUACAUCAACAGCUUCCAGCUAUACACUUGAGAUCAGCUCCUGAUGCCUCUCAUAAUGCUGUGUUAUAAUUUAUUGCAGGGUGAUCUUGCUGAAAGGAUAUUUUUAUAAACCUUUACAAUGUCACCAGAUGUUACCUGUUGUGAAUAAUUAUUUUAUAAACCUUUACAAUCUCACUAGUUGUUACAUGUUGUGGAUAGUUAUUUUUAUAAACCUUUACAAUGUCACCAGAUGUUACAUGUUGUGAAUGGUUAUUUUUAUAAACCUUUACAAUGUCACCAGUUGUUACAUGUUGUGCAUAGUUAUUUUUAUAAACCUUUACAAUGUCACCAGAUGUUACCUGUUGUGAAAAGUUAUUUUUAUAAACCGUUACAAUGUCACCAGA